UAAGCCACGUGUGUGUGUGUGUGUGUGUGUGUGUGUGUGUGUGUGGCUUACACACACACACACACACACACACACACACACACACAGAUUAAAUUAUCCCCAUAAUAAACCUAUGAGGUAGGUAUAA